rnacentral:tRNA from 2 species
GCCGGGAUGGCGGAACAGGCAGACGCAGGGGACUUAAAAUCCUCCGGAGGGGGACCUCCGUGCCGGUUCGAAUCCGGCUCCCGGCACCA